rnacentral:rRNA from 1 species
GAUGAACGCUGGCGGCGUGCCUAAUACAUGCAAGUCGAGCGAACAGACGAGGAGCUUGCUCCUCUGACGUUAGCGGCGGACGGGUGAGUAACACGUGGAUAACCUACCUAUAAGACUGGGAUAACUUCGGGAAACCGGAGCUAAUACCGGAUAAUAUAUUGAACCGCAUGGUUCAAUAGUGAAAGACGGUUUUGCUGUCACUUAUAGAUGGAUCCUCGCCGCAUUAGCUAGUUGGUAAGGUAACGGCUUACCAAGGCAACGAUGCGUAGCCGACCUGAGAGGGUGAUCGGCCACACUGGAACUGAGACACGGUCCAGACUCCUACGGGAGGCAGCAGUAGGGAAUCUUCCGCAAUGGGCGAAAGCCUGACGGAGCAACGCCGCGUGAGUGAUGAAGGUCUUCGGAUCGUAAAACUCUGUUAGUAGGGAAGAACAAAUGUGAAAGUAACUAUGCACGUCUUGACGGUACCAAAUCAGAAAGCCACGGCUAACUACGUG